GACGACGCUGGCGGCGUGCCUAACACAUGCAAGUCGAACGAGCGCUGGACGGGUGCGUAAUGUCUGGGAAACUGCCUGCUGGCGGGGGAUAACUACUGAACUCGGUAGCUUAUACCGCAUACCAUCUGAUGUGCACCGUUGGGAUUAGCUCGUAGGUGGGGUAAUGGCUCACCUUGGCGACGAUCCCUAGCUGGGCUGAGAGGAUGACCAGCCACACUGGAACUGAGACACGGUCCAGACUCCUACGGGAGGCAGCAGUGGGGAAUAUUGGACAAUGGGCGCAAGCCUGAUGCAGCCAUGCCGCGUGUGUGAAGAAGGCCUUCGGGUUGUAAAGCACUUUCAGCGAGGAGGCGGUACUCGCAGAGGAAGCACCGGCUAACUCCGUGCCAGCAGCCGCGGUAAUUC
rnacentral:rRNA from 1 species